rnacentral:rRNA from 1 species
CAUGCGGCAGCUACACAUGCAGUCGAGCGGAAACGAUCCUAGCUUGCUAGGAGGCGUCGAGCGGCGGACGGGUGAGUAAUGCAUAGGAAUCUGCCCGGUAGUGGGGGAUAACUUGAGGAAACUCAAGCUAAUACCGCAUACGCCCUACGGGGGAAAGCAGGGGCUCUUCGGACCUUGCGCUAUCGGAUGAGCUUAUGUCGGAUUAGCUGGUUGGUGAGGUAACGGCUCACCAAGGCGACGAUCCGUAGCUGGUCUGAGAGGAUGAUCAGCCACAUCGGGACUGAGACACGGCCCGAACUCCUACGGGAGGCAGCAGUGGGGAAUAUUGGACAAUGGGGGCAACCCUGAUCCAGCCAUGCCGCGUGUGUGAAGAAGGCCCUCGGGUUGUAAAGCACUUUCAGCGAGGAAGAAUGCUUGUCGGUUAAUACCCGGCAAGGGAGACAUCACUCGCAGAAGAAGCACCGGCUAACUCCGUGCCAGCAGCCGCGGUAAUACGGAGGGUGCGAGCGUUAAUCGGAAUUACUGGGCGUAAAGCGUGCGUAGGCGGCUUGAUAAGCCGGUUGUGAAAGCCCCGGGCUCAACCUGGGAACGGCAUCCGGAACUGUUAG